UCUACGAUCAGUAACUGAUGUGAGAGCAUGAUCAGCCACACGGGCACUGAGACACGGGCCCGACUCCUACGGGAGGCAGCAGUAAGGAAUAUUGGUCAAUGGGCGAAAGCCUGAACCAGCCAUGCCGCGUGAAGGAUUAAGGUCCUUUGGAUUGUAAACUUCUUUUAUCUGGGACGAAAAAAGGCGAUUCUUCGUCACUUGACGGUACCAGAUGAAUAAGCACCGGCUAACUCCGUGCCAGCAGCCGCGGUAAUACGGAGGGUGCAAGCGUUAUCCGGAUUCACUGGGUUUAAAGGGUGCGUAGGCGGGCAGGUAAGUCAGUGGUGAAAUCCCCGAGCUUAACUCGGGAACUGCCAUUGAUACUAUCUGUCUUGAAUAUUGUGGAGGUAAGCGGAAUAUGUCAUGUAGCGGUGAAAUGCUUAGAUAUGACAUAGAACACCUAUUGCGAAGGCAGCUUACUACGCAUAUAUUGACGCUGAUGCACGAAAGCGUGGGGAUCAAACAGGAUUAGAUACCCUGGUAGUCCACGCCCUAAACGAUGAUUACUCGACAUUUGCGAUAUACUGUAAGUGUCUGAGCGAAAGCAUUAAGUAAUCC
rnacentral:rRNA from 1 species